rnacentral:rRNA from 1 species
AGUGAACGCUGGCGGCAGGCCUAACACAUGCAAGUCGAGCGGCAGCGCGGGGGCAACCCUGGCGGCGAGCGGCGGACGGGUGAGGAAUUCGUCGGAAUCUGCCUUUUUGUGGGGGAUAACGUAGGGAAACUUACGCUAAUACCGCAUACGUCCUACGGGAGAAAGUGGGGGACCGCAAGGCCUCACGCAGAAAGAUGAGCCGACGACCGAUUAGCUAGUUGGUGGGGUAAAGGCCCACCAAGGCGACGAUCGGUAGCUGGUCUGAGAGGAUGAUCAGCCAACUGGGACCUGAGCACGGGCCCAGACCCCUAAGGGGGGCAGCGGGGGGAAAUAUGGGAAAAUGGGCGAAAGCCUGACCCAGCCAGGCCGGGGGGGUGAAGAGGGCCUUCGGGUUGUAAAGCACUUUUGUCCGGAAAAAAAUCCCGGGGGCUAAUCCCUUCGGGGGAUGACGGUACCGGAAAAAAGAGCACCGGCAAACUUCGU